rnacentral:rRNA from 1 species
UACGGGGGGGGCAAGCGUUGUUCGGAAUUACUGGGCGGAAAGGGCUCGUAGGCGGCCAACUAAGUCAGACGUGAAAUCCCUCGGCUUAACCGGGGAACUGCGUCUGAUACUGGAUGGCUUGAGUUCGGGAGAGGGAUGUGGAAUUCCAGGUGUAGCGGUGAAAUGCGUAGAUAUCUGGAGGAACACCGGUGGCGAAGGCGGCAUCCUGGACCGACACUGACGCUGAUGAGCGAAAGCCAGGGGAGCAAACGGG